rnacentral:rRNA from 1 species
AGAGAUGUGUGAUGACGCAUAUCAAUAAGCGGAGGAAAAGAAACUAACAAGGAUUCCCUUAGUAACGGCGAGUGAAGCGGGAAGAGCUCAAAUUUGAAAUCUUCAAGGUUCUACCUUGACGAAUUGUAGUUUAUAGAAGUGUUUUCUGUUAGUAGAGUGGCAAAAGUUCUUUGGAAUAGGACAUCAUAGAGGGUGAGAAUCCCGUAUUUGGUCAUUCUUUCUAGCUUUGUGAUACACUUUCAACGAGUCGGAUUGUUUGGGAAUGCAGUCCAAAAUGGGUGGUAAAUUUCAUCUAAAGCUAAAUAUUGGCGAGAGACCGAUAGCGAACAAGUACUCGUGAGGGAAAGAUGAAAAGAACUUUGAAAAGAGAGUUAAACAGUACGUGAAAUUGUCAAAAGGGAAGCGUUUGACACCAGUGUUGUUUUUCCGAAAAUCAAUUACGAAUGUUUUAGUUUUUGAGAAGUUAUGACUUCAUCGGCUUGCUUCUCUCUUUAUGAAACUUUCUUAAUGCACUUUUCGGUUAGCAAGUCAACAUCAAUUUCUUUUGUUGUAAAAGGGUAUGAGGAAGGUGGCUUUCUUUUCGGAGAAAGUGUUUAUAGCCUAGUACCUCUGCAAUCGGAGAGAUUGAGGUCUGCAGCGUAGAUCCUUCAGGGAUUAGAUACAUUUGUGCUAAGUUAUAGCUUUUCAUAGACAACUUGUUGACUAUGUUUAGUCUUGUAGCUUACUCGCUUAUGCUAUUUUACCUACGCUUAGGAUGUUGAUCUGUAGUGCGUGCGC